rnacentral:lncRNA from 1 species
CUGCACAUACUGCUACCUGAGACUGCCGGCAAAGAUUCAGCCCCAGCUAAUGUUUCCAGUGGGCAGGGAUGACAGCUGCUGUAGUCCAUCGGCUGCUGGAAGUUCACUGGUUCCUCGUCAUCCAGGAGAGAGUGCUUCAGUGUCCUCAAGACACAGCACACGGCGGUGGCAAAUACAUUUCUCACAGAGCCAUACUAAUGAAUAUUGCCUUUCCUGUUUUCCAGGUUAGAAGCGGCUACUCAGGUCAGUGGCACUUCACGAGAAAAAGCAUUAUUUAAAAGAAUCCCUGCACAAAAGGAUUUGCAAAAGAGAGGACGCGUCGAAUGUAGAGUUGGAAAUGAUCUCAAGAGUCUCUUCUAAACCUCUGCAAUGCAGGAAUCUCAACUAUAAAAAAGGUAAAGGACCCCUGGACGGUUCAGUCCAGUAAAAGGCAGCUACGAGGUUGCGGCACUCAUCUCGCUUCUUCUUCCUCUUCUUUUUUAAAGAAAUUAUUAUUUAUAUGCCGCCCAUCUUGCUGUGUUUCCCCAACCACUCUGGGCGGCUCCCAACAAAAUAUUAAAAACACGAGAAACCAUCAAACAUUAAAAACUUGCCUAAACAGGGCUCCCUUCAGAUGUCUUCUAAAAGUCAGAUAGUUGUUUAUUUCCUCGACAUCUGAUGGGAGGGCGUUCCACAGGGCAGCUGCCACUACCGAGAAGGCCCUCUGCCUGGUUCCCUGUAACCUCACCUCGUAGUGAGGGAACCACCAGAAGGACCUUGGAGCUGGACCUCUGUGGGUGGGGGUAGAGCUGAACGAUGGGGGUGGAGAUGCUCCUUCAGAUAUACUGGGCCGUUCACGGGGCAGUGCUGGAUUAAAGCCUGUGGAGGCCCCUUGGUGGUCAAAAUCUGGGCGGGGGGCAGGCCUUGUGCGCAUCCUGGAAUAACAUUGAACUAAGAAAGCUUGACUGUCAUUUUCUUUCAAGAUCAAAUCAAUAUUAUUUUGAUCCACUGCUGUGGAACCCCUAAAAAGUGUGGGGCCCAAAGGCCAGUGCCUCCUCUGCCUAUUUGGUAAUCCAGCCCGGCCCAGGAGAGAGAAGAAACAGAAGUUGAGGGACACAUCCUGAUGUGCUGCAGCUGUUCCCCACAAUGAAAUGGAAGGCUCAACAUUUGUCAGGCACUUUCGGAUGCUCAGCAGCCCUGUGUGGUUACAACAACCCUGUAAAGUAGGCUGGUGCUAUGUGCUCCCCAAAUUGCAGCUGAAUCCCUCGCAGAUUGGCACCCAACCUCUGCUUAAAAGCCUCCAAGGAAGGAGAGUCCACCACCAUCCCAGAGAGUCUUAACCAUCAGAAAGUUCUUCCGAAUCUCCUCUCCUGCCCUCCCCUCUGGAGUAGCAGAAAUCAAGCUUGCUCCCUCCUGUAGCCCUCAGAUAUUGGAAGAUGGCUCUCCUCUCAGUCUCCUCUUCUCCAGGCUAAAAAUACCUAGCUGCCUCAACCGUUCCUCAUGAGGCUUGGUUUCCAACUGCCUUAACAGUUCCUCAUGAGGCUUGGUUCCAGCUGCCUCAACCGUUCCUCAUCAGGCUUGGUUUCCA